rnacentral:snRNA from 1 species
GUGCUCGCUUUGGCAGCACAUGUACUAAAACUGGAACGAUACAGAGAAGAUUAGCGUGGCCCCUGUGCAAGGCUGACAUGCAAAUUCGUGAAGUGUUCCAUAUUUUU